UACGUAGGGACCGAGCGUUGUCCGGAAUCAUUGGGCGUAAAGCGCGCGCAGGUGGUUUCUUAAGUCUGAUGUGAAAGCCCACGGCUCAACCGUGGAGGGUCAUUGGAAACUGGGAGACUUGAGUGCAGAAGAGGAAAGUGGAAUUCCAUGUGUAGCGGUGAAAUGCGUAGAGAUAUGGAGGAACACCAGUGGCGAAGGCGACUUUCUGGUCUGUAACUGACACUGAGGCGCGAAAGCGUGGGGAGCAAACAGG
rnacentral:rRNA from 1 species